UACGAAGGGGGCUAGCGUUGCUCGGAAUUACUGGGCGUAAAGCGCGUGUAGGCGGCUUGGCAAGUCGGGUGUGAAAGCCCUCAGCUCAACUGAGGAAGUGCGCCCGAAACUGCUGAGCUCGAGUACCGGAGAGGGUAGCGGAAUUCCCCAAGUAGAGGUGAAAUUCGUAGAUAUGGGGAGGAACACCGGUGGCGAAGGCGGCUACCUGGACGGUCACUGACGCUGAGACGCGAAAGCGUGGGUAGCAAACAGG
rnacentral:rRNA from 1 species